rnacentral:rRNA from 1 species
AUGUACACUAAUAUGAAUCUCAUGGUAUUGGAUGAAAGACAACUCAUCGAAGAAAUCCGGGAAUUCCUUCACGACAAGAGGUAUCUCGUCGUAAUUGAUGAUAUAUGGGAUGGAAAACUAUGGGAAGAUAUCAAGUUGGCUUUCUCUAAUAUGAACAAUGUUGGCAGUCGCCUAAUCACAACAACCCGCAUAUUUAGUGUAUCCAUAGCAUGUUGUCCUUCCACUCAUGAUUCCAUUUAUCAAAUGGAACCACUCUCAGAUAGUGACUCUACAAGGCUCUUUUGUAAAAGAAUAUUUUCAAGUGAGAAUAAAUGUCCUAGUGAACUUAAGGAAGUAUCUAGAGAUAUUUUGAAGAAAUGUGGCGGUGUACCAUUAGCUAUCCUUACUAUAGCUAGUCUUCUCACCGCUGGUCAUCAGAUAAAGCCAAAAGUUGAAUGGCAAGUUCUGCUAGACUCAAUUGGGCGUGGACUUACAGAAGAUGCAAGUAUGGAGGAAAUGCAGAGGAUACUAUCAUUUAGCUACUAUGAUCUGCCUUCUAAUCUGAAGACUUGCAUAUUAUAUUUAUGCAUGUAUCCUGAAGAUCAUGAGAUUGACAAAGAAGAUCUGAUAUGGAAGUGGAUUUGUGAAAAUUUUGUGCAGCAUGGAAAGCAUCAGACUAGUAUUUUUGAAGUUGGGGAAACUUAUUUUAACGAGCUCAUAAACAGAUACAUGAUUAUACCAAUAUUCAAUGGUUUCCGUGAAGUACAAAGUUGUCGUGUGCAUGACAUGGUGCUUGAUCUGAUUCGUUCCUUGUCAGCUGAAGCAAAGUUUUUGACAAUAUUGGAAAGUAAUAAGGAUAUCACUAGUUCUCAGAACAAUAUCCGUAGAUUGUCCCUCCAAAAUAUUGAGGAAGAUCAAGAAACUACACCUCUUGCUAACUCAAUGAGUAUAUCACAAGUAAGGUCCAUCACUGUCUUUCCACCAGCCGUGACUAUCAUGCCAGCUAUAUCUAGCUUUGGUGUUUUACGUGUAUUGGACUUACAUCGAUGCCGUAUUGGGGCACUUAACUUUCAGCCUAAGAUGAGGGAUAUCGGGUAUUUAUUUCACCUGAGGUACCUAGGUCUAAAAAGAACUGGUAUCUCUGAAAUCCCGGAGGAAAUAGGAAAUCUACAGUUUCUACAAGUGUUAGAUUUAGACUUCAAUUUCGAGAUGAGAGUGUUGCCGUCAUCCAUGUGGAAGCUAAGACAGCUAAUGUCCAUAAAGGUUUUAUUUCGCUGCUAUUGGCCCCCUGGUGUGUUGGGUAACCUGACUUCAUUGGAAGUACUGGAGAGGAUUUAUGCCUCCCCGAGCACCGUGCAAGAGCUUGGCCGCCUGGCAAGACUAAGGAGGCUUGACAUUCACUUCAUUGCUUGGAGCCUCGAGGUAGAGGAAACUUUUGUGGAGACUAUAUGCAACCUGCAUGAUAUCCAAAGUCUAAGUAUUACCUGUGAUGAUGUACCAUACUUGGAUCUCUUGGGGGGACGCUGGGAACCCCCUCGACGCCUUCGCCAAUAUACUUUCACAUCAGACCAUAUCGCAUGCUCUGCAUUGCCGAUGUGGAUAACAAAAUGUGGCCCCUCACAUCUAUCAAACCUAUCAGAGGUUCAUAUCAUAGUCAAGGAUGUGCAGCAAGAAGAUGUGCAAAUCCUUGGGAGAUUGCCAGCUCUUCGCCAUCUCUGGAUAGGCAGCACCCACCAAACAGAAAGGCUGCUCAUCAUCGGUGCAGAUGAGUUCCGUUGUGUGAUAGCCUUUGGAAUGCAUUGUGAGCCAGCCACUCAGUUAGUAUUUCAACAAGGAGCUUUGCCAAAUGCAGAAUACGUCCGAUUCAGUCUGGGCGUACGGGUGGCCAAAGAAGAUGGUAACGGUGAUCUGUUUGAGCUCGGCCUGGGCAACCUGCUCUCACUUCAGAGUGCAUUAGUUGAAAUCCAUUGGGACGGGGUCACCAAUAUGGAAGCUGCCGAAGCAUGUGCGGCAGUGAGAAAUGCAAUGGACACCCAUCCUAACCAUCCAAUCGUUAAUCUUCAUUUGGAUCCAGAGAUAUCGGAAGAUACCGAUGAUGAGGAUGAUGAUGAGUAUGACGAUGAUGACAGCGGCGAUGAAGGAGAAAGAAUGGAUCUGGACUAG